UGGGCACCUAGAGUGGCGGGAGCAGGGCUCCUAGGCAUUCCCGAGGUGGUGGGUAGAUGGCUGGGGUGGGCGCCAGAGCCAACCCCCUCCCCCCCCCAGCCUCCCACGGUGCCAGUGCCUAUGGGAGUAAUUAGCGCUAAUGACAGGACUGGGGACUCUGUUAUCAUAUAUACACUCACCUCGCACUGGGGCACAACCGAGGCAGGCCAGGAGGGGGUCGGCAGAUGAAGGGCGAGGCCCGAGGUGGGGAGGGCAGAGCAGGGCAGGGAGGGGUGGUGGUCCAGCCCCCUACAGACCCCAAGGGGACCCUGGUCUGCCUCGAAAUGCUCCCCAGCCAUGUGGGGUCAUGUGGGUGGGUGUGGGCUGGACAGCGUCCCCCUGGCAGCGUCCCCCUGGCAGCGUCCCCCUGUCGGGGUGUCAUGGGGUCGGUGCUGCCAGGCCCUCUCUGGUGUGGUGUCCUCGGGGCAGCCCUCCCUCUCCCCCGCCCGGGCAGCCCCCACGCCGGGAGUGCCUGAGACUGCCAGGUGCUGCCCCUGGCACCGUGGGGCUCCUCCUGGAUCCCAGAAUCCUCGGGGGCAGGAGCCCCCAGGCACUUCCCUCUCAACUGCCACUCUCUCCUCCCUCACCCAGAGAGCUUCCUUCUCUCCUCCCACGUCUCAGGAAAGGGGAAACAGGGCUUCCCCAGUGGCCUCGGGGCCCACAGACUGGGCCAGAAUUUUCUUCCCGUCAGUGCCGUUCUGACACAAGUUUCAGCUUUUUAUUUAGAAACUCAAAACCUGAGCCUUCCCUUCUGUGGGCACAGCCACAUCCCGAAGGCAGUGAGCCUGAGCGCUCCGGGCUGGAGAAAGCCGGGAGUGGGAGCUGACCAUGAAGUGGGUGUAAGCACAGCCAGGGGGAACACGUGCGCCCUGCAGAGCCCCACAUGCGUCGAGCUUCCCCGAUGAGGGGGCCAUCAAAAGUCUUCGGGGAGCCAGAGACCCAGGACUGCCCAUCAGCAUCACCAGCCCAGCCCGGGCCAGUGCCUGGCCCACAGCAGGCGCUCCCCGGGCAGCUGCGGACUGACUGACUGCUGUACGCACCCAGCACGUGGUAAUACCCAGCUCAACCAGUGAGAAGUGAGCCAGCGGGAUUGCUUUAGCAAUUCGGGGUCUUUUGUUGCCUCCCAGGGGCAUCUUCAUCUUCAUAGAGAACCCUUGGAAAUCUUCCAGAUGCGAAUGAAUGGACUGAUAAUGGUAGAUUGGAGGCCCAGUGACUAGCUUGUGUGUGUGUGUGAACUGCCACCUACCAGCUGUGCAACCUUGGGUGAGUCCCUCCACCUCUCUGAGCUCAGUGUGUUCAUCCACGAUGUGGAGGCUGCUGUCCCAGGCACAGCUGCAGCAACGGCCGGUGUGUUGGGGCGGCCGGGAUAUCGAGUGCGGAUGAACUUCGGCAGCAGGAGGUGAGGACUGUUACGUCCGUGGUUUUGGUUAUGAUCCUUGCCCAGCCGGGCAAUAGGGAGCCCGUGGAAGUUAACAAACAAGGCAGGGAUGUCCGAUUAUGAAUGUCUGCAGCUUCGGGUCUGGAAUCGAGCUUCGGAACAGGUGUGGAAGCCGACCCCUCCCAGAAAUAGUGAAGGUAAGGUGGGCCUCAGAGCAGGAGGCAGCGGAGCCGGGGGCAGAUGCAGCCCCGCCACGCCCCCGUCCUGCACUGCUGAGGGGGCUGCAGGCAGGUGUGGGGAUCCCUGAGGAGUGGGGCAGGCCGCUCACCGAGCGGGGGCUGUGUGCGUGUGCACACGUGUGCAUGCCCUGUGCGUGUGUGUCUGUUGUGGGUACAUGUGAGCACGUGGCACAUGUGUGUGUCGGGACCCGUGCCUUCCUGUGCGCCCUUGUUUUCCGCUGUCACAAUGAGAGAUGCGCACAGGCCUGGCGGUCUCUGGCCCGGGGCAGAGGAAUUCUUUAUUUCCAUGGCCUUCCACGGUGAUUAAGUCUCCAAACUUUCCCUUAACCAUCAUUUCUUCAAAAUGAAAAACCAAAUUGCAUCUCCAAGCAGCUUGGAAAUCGAUUUCUUUCAAAAUGAAGUUUUGGAGAAGCGAUUCCAAAGAGAAAUAAGAGGAAGAAGGUGGGAGGGUGCUUGGGGUGGGGACAGAGCAGCUGCCAGGGCCUCUGAGGACCGCAGGGGGUGGGGAGGGGCCCCCACUGGGCUGGUGGCUCCUCCAGCCUCAGCCAGGACAAUCUCACCCCACCCCCAUGCCCGCUGGCCCCUCGGUGACGACCCUUCACGGGCCUGGUGUGGGGACCCAGGAAGGUGCCCAGCUCAUGCACCGGCCUGAGCCCUCUUGGGGGAAGCCGGUCUCAGCAACAAGCCCAGGAAUGGCGGCCCCGCCCUGUCGAGCUGGGCCUGGCCAGCGCUUUGCCAGCACUAUCUCAUUUAAUUCUCACGUCAGCCCUGGGGUGGCAUCGUCAGCCCAGUUUAGUGAUGGGAAACCGUGGCCCAGAGAGGUGAGUGUUUCGAGGAGAUGAGGGGAGGAUUCGGGGAGAACAGAAGUGAGGGGCCAGGGCUGCACCUGGGGUCUCACUGGGUCAGCGGAUGACAGGUCCUGGGGGAAGGAGGAGGACGACUCGUGGACACAAACACUGAACGAUGACACAAAACACCCUCCGUGCCCGGGGACAGCCACAGCCAGUGUUCCAGGACGAAAGGAAGGACGUGAUGGCCCUUCAUGAGGAGUGAGUGAGUGUGUGUGUGAGCUCACUCGUGUGGUCGCGGUGGGUGUGGAGUCGGUGCAGCCAGCCCAGUGUGGGAGGGAGUCUGUCACUCAGUGUGUGGAGGGGGCGGUGGGCCCUGUGCCUGGUGAGUGGAGGGGUGGUGGCUGGUGCCUCUGCCAUGUGCGAGCUGCAUGUGGCUCUCAGAGCCCCUGGGGCUGCCAGGUGGGCGCGUGGAUGGGUGGGGAGCCUUGCUCAGCCCCUCGCCCUUCCCCCACUGUGCUGCACCCCCCCCCCCAUUUGACAGGCCUAAGGGAUCCAGAGGCCUGGGGGACGAGGGCUAGAGGGGAUUGGGGCUGG
rnacentral:lncRNA from 1 species